rnacentral:lncRNA from 1 species
CCUCUCCUCUUCUCUCUUUAGAAGGUAUCUCUCCUCUCCUCUUCUCUCUUUAGAAGGUAUCUCUCUCCUCUCCUCUCUUUAGAAGGUAUCUCUCUCCUCGUCUCUCUUUAUAAGGUAUCUCUCUCCUCUCCUCUCUUUAUAAGGUAUCUCUCUUUUUUUCUUCUCUCUUUAUAAGGUAUCUCUCUCCUCUUCUCUCUUUAUAAGGUAUCUCUCUCCUCUUCUCUCUUUAGAAGGUAUCUCUCUCCUCUUCUCUUUUUAGAAGGUAUCUCUCUCCUCUCCUCUCCUCUCUUUAGAAGGUAUCUCUCUCCUCUUCUCUCUUUAGAAGGUAUCUCUCUCCUCUUCUCUCUUUAGAAGGUAUCUCUCUCCUCUUCU